UGCGUGUCCGUGUGCGUGUGUGUGUGUGUGUGUGUGCACAAGCAAAUUCAAGUUUCGUGCGCACCAAGCACCAAGCAC
rnacentral:miRNA from 1 species